GACGAACGCUGGCGGCGUGCUUAACACAUGCAAGUCGAGGGUAGCAAUACACCGGCGCAAGGGCGCGUAACGCGUAGAUUAUCUGCCCCAUACACUAACAUAACGCUUGGAAACGGGUGCUAAUAUUAGAUGAGGUGCUUCGGCAUCAAAGUUUCGACGGUAUGGGAUGAGUCUGCGUCUGAUUAGCUAGUUGGUAGUGUAAUGGACUACCAAGGCGACGAUCAGUAGCUGGUCUGAGAGGACGAUCAGCCACACUGGAACUGAGACACGGUCCAGACUCCUACGGGAGGCAGCAGUGAGGAAUUUUGCGCAAUGGACGAAAGUCUGACGCAGCGACGCCGCGUGUGGGAUGAAGGGGGCUACGCCCUGUAAACCACUGUUAGAUGUGAAAAAAAGAUGGCUUUGCCGUCCGGGAUUGUAACAUCAAAGAAAGGAACCGGCUAACUAACGUGCCAGCAGCCGCGGUAAU
rnacentral:rRNA from 1 species